AGAGAAACAAACCUCAGGAGACACUUAAUGAUAGAGAACAAACUGCAGAUUGAUGGACAGAGGUGGGUGAGAGAUGAGCUAGAUGAGUGAUGGUUAUUAAGGAGGGCACUUGUGAUGAGCACUGGGUGUUAUAUGUAAGUAAUGAAUCACUGAAUUCUACUUCUGAAAACAUGUUAACUAACUUUUUUUUA